CCACUUUUCCAAGCAGAUUUUUAUUGCAAAUGUAAGACAACCCUGUAAGAGUUACUGCCCUUUGUUGUUUGACUCCUCCAGCCAAACAAAGAAAAUGGCAGCCAUUGUGGACACUGUCCACUAGCAUAGAUGAAUCAUCAGUGUUUUAUAGAUACAAACAUAAACAGAAGAAAUGAAAGGAGUCAUCAUCAAUACACUGCCUGCAGCACUUCGGACUUUAGCAAUAGUGGUGGUCAGUCAUUAAGACAGAAAACUCAGAGGAGCAUUUAUUACCACACGAUAGAGAAAAUAACAAGGAGAAUCACAAUAUUGUUUGACACGGAACCGUUAUAAUCAGCAUCUUCAUGAGUAUGAAAAUUGUCAAAAACGCAGAGGGAAAACUACACCGAUUUAUAGUCAAACAAGGUAAAAAGUACAGAAAUUACAGAUAAGCCAUAUCAGCAAGAUGCAACGACGGUCAAAGAGCAG